UCCCUGGUGGUCCAGUGGUUAGGAUUCUGGGCUUGCACUGCCAGGGGCCCAGGUUCGAUCCCUGGUUGGGGAA